rnacentral:rRNA from 1 species
GCCGACGGCGUGGUCCUCGUCGUCUUUGCGCUCUCGAACGUUCCGCUCUCCUCCAAAUAACCCACACCCAAGGGCGGGGAGGCGGCCCAUCACUUCCCCGCGUCCAGAUUCCGGAAGCACCCUUCCGUCGCCUCCUCCGUCGGCCGAUUGCUCCGUGGUGCUCGCCUCGGCGAGAAGCCUCUGCCUAGGAACAAAAUGGAUGAACAGAGAAUAGCUCGAAUAUCGGUCACUUGGAGAGGCAGGCAACUUGAUGUUGAUGCAGACCCAAGUUGUACGGUGAAGGAAUUUGGGCAACUGCUCCAGGAUUUGACUAAUGUUAAACCAGAGACGUUGAAGCUCAUAGUUCCGCAAUCUGUAAAUAAAGGUUCCAAGCUGAUCAGUCCAUUUUCAGACCCCCAUUCAAGCUUAACACUGAAAGAAGCUGCUGUCAGUGAGGGUAAGCCUAUUAGAAUGAUGGGUGUCUUUGAAGAUGAAAUUGAGGAAGUAUCAGACAAUGGCAAAAGACCAGAUAUGCGGAUAAUUGGAUUUGAAGAGGAAGAACAACGGCUGAGGCAACGAUCUUCAGGCAGGCCCCGAGUUUCACUGAAACUUCCACAGGGUCAAUACAUCUUCUGUGAUUUUCGUACACUUCACUUACCCGGGGUUGAGUUGAAUCCACCACCUUCGGAAGCUCUGAAAAGAAUGCACAUGCUUGCAUGUGACCCUGGCAUAAUUGCAAUCAUGAACAAGCAUAGAUGGCGAGUGGGAAUCAUGACUGAAAUGGCACCAGUGGGAUAUGUAGGUGUUAGUCCGAAAUGCAUUCUAGGCUUCAAUAAGAACAUGGGAGAGGAGAUAUCCCUUCGCCUACGAACUGAUGAUUUGAAAGGAUUUCGGAAAUACGAAAGUAUCAAGAAAACUCUGCUCCAUGAACUUGCGCAUAUGGUGCACUCUGAGCAUGAUGCCCACUUUUUCGCUCUUAAUAAGCAGUUGAAUGAGGAAGCUGCAUCCUUGGACUGGACCAAAUCAAGUGGACAUGUGCUGAGUGGCCGCAAAAUAUUUGAUUCCUAUGAAGAUGAAUUUGAUUUAGAACCGGAAGCUCAUGUUGUCGGUCACAAACUUGGGGGAGGAUCGAGUUCACUGGCAAGUGCCCGUGUGUUGCCAGGGGUAGCUGCUUAUCAGCGUCUCUUGAGUGCAUCAUCAACAGAUAUGGGGAGUUCCCACAGUAGUGUUACUAAAUCUGUGGAAAUAUAUAAUGUGCAAGGUACACAAGCUGAACCUGAUCCGGAUGAUGCUGGUCAAUAUUUUGUUCAGGAAAAUGUGAAGACGGAACCAGACCCAGAUGAUAAUGAUGCCAUGCCUGUUGAUGUAACAAUUGUGACAUCAGGACCAGCAGGUUUUGUAGCAUCUACAGAGCAGAAUACCAUAGGUUAUUCUGAGCCUGUUCUUGAUGAUGUUGCCAAGAAAAGCUCUGUUGGUUACCUAGAACCUGAUCCUGAUGAUUCCGCAGAUGUUGACAUGCUUAACAAGGACAUCAAUGGUGAGCAUGAUAAUGAACCUGAUCCUGAUGACGGCACUAGUGAAUUUGUCCUAGAAUCUGGAAACAAGAUGGAAGUGGAGAUGGAGCCGAGAACUGACUCCACAGUUCUGAAAUCUGAACCUGACCCUGAUGACUCCUCUAGCUCUAUUCAAACCCAGAAGGUGAGCAUUGAUGGGAAGCACAUGGCAGAACCUGAUCCAGAUGCUAGUAGCUGCGGAGCUGUUCUGACAUCUGGAAAUAAGAUUCAAGCGGAGAUUGGGCAGAGCAGAAACCACUCAGUUUUGGAGUCUGAACCUGAUCCUGACGACAAUGCUGCUAAUUUGAAGAGCGAUGAGCUGCAAAGAAUAGAAGAGCCAGUGGCAGCCCUAUGCUCGCGCCUCCAUAAGGCUAUUGAAAUGCUCCGGUCGCAAGCAACACCUUCAGAGGCAGCCUCUGCACUUCAAACACUCUUCAAAAUUAUCAAGAAUGUGAUAGAGAACCCAAACGAUAUUCGGUAUAGAAGACUGCGUAAGACCAAUCCUCAUUUCCAAAGGAGCGUGGCGAAUUACAAAGCUGCGAUGGAGGUCCUCGAGUUGAUUGGCUUCUGCGAGGAUGUCGUUUCAGAUGAGAUUGGGCGUGCAGAGACCUAUCUGGUACUGAAGAGGAACGAUCCUGGGUUGCUGUGGCUUGCGAAGUCCUCCCUUGAAGUAUCCAUGGCUUGAUAAACCUUCCAGCUAUAGACCUGUAUAUCAUGACAUUUCAUUCCCUUUGUGCUGCAAAAAUGGUUUUGUGUGGUCUUGUGGGAUGAGAAUGAGAACAUUAAACUAUGUGUUGUCUGCCAGCUUCUCAACUGUAUAUCAAAUAUAUGUGAUUGCAGAUAGACUCGUAAACAUCUUGUCUGGGGCUUAUGCUAAAUUGAAUUGUUUGGAGAAACAUUGAGCAUC